rnacentral:hammerhead_ribozyme from 1 species
GUACCGCUGAAGAAUCCAAAAUUAGGACGAAACAGCUGUCCAGUAC